rnacentral:rRNA from 1 species
AUGAACGCUGGCGGCGUGCCUAAUACAUGCAAGUCGCGCGAACGGACGAGAAGCUUGCUUCUCUGAUGUUAGCGGCGGACGGGUGAGUAACACGUGGAUAACCUACCUAUAAGACUGGGAUAACUUCGGGAAACCGGAGCUAAUACCGGAUAAUAUUUUGAACCGCAUGGUUCAAAAGUGAAAGACGGUCUUGCUGUCACUUAUAGAUGGAUCCGCGCUGCAUUAGCUAGUUGGUAAGGUAACGGCUUACCAAGGCAACGAUGCAUAGCCGACCUGAGAGGGUGAUCGGCCACACUGGAACUGAGACACGGUCCAGACUCCUACGGGAGGCAGCAGUAGGGAAUCUUCCGCAAUGGGCGAAAGCCUGACGGAGCAACGCCGCGUGAGUGAUGAAGGUCUUCGGAUCGUAAAACUCUGUUAUUAGGGAAGAACAUAUGUGUAAGUAACUGUGCACGUCUUGACGGUACCUAAUCAGAAAGCCACGGCUAACUACGUG